rnacentral:rRNA from 1 species
CCUACGGGGGGCAGCAGUGGGGAAUAUUGCGCAAUGGGCGAAAGCCUGACGCAGCGACGCCGCGUGAGGGAUGAAGGUCUUCGGAUCGUAAACCUCUGUCAGCAGGGAAGAACGGUCACUGUGCUAAUCAGCAGUGCAUUGACUGUACCUGCAAAGGAAGCACCGGCUAACUCCGUGCCAGCAGCCGCGGUAAUACGGAGGGUGCGAGCGGUAAUCGGAAUUACUGGGCGUAAAGCGCUCGUAGGCGGUAUGUCAAGUCAAGGGUGAAAUCCCCGCGCUCAACGUGGGAACUGCCUUUGAAACGGGCAAACUGGGGUGUGUGAGAGGAAAGUGGAAUUCCGGGUGUAGGAGUGAAAUCCGUAGAUAUAUGGAGGAACAUCAGUGGCGAAGGCGACUAUCUGGCACAUAACUGACGCUGAGGAGCGAAAGCGUGGGUAGCAAACAGGAUUAGAUACCCUGUAGUC